rnacentral:piRNA from 1 species
UAUUACAUGCUUUCUGACUGC